CCGGAGAAGCCCGACCCUCUCUGCUCUUCCCCAGCCUGCGCUGCUCCAGCUCCACGUGCGCCCGGGGAUGCAAUGCAGCCCUGCAGACAAGCGUCUCCGGCAGGACGUGGGCCGCGGGUCUCGGAGCCUCCUUCACUUAGGAAUCCUCCGGAAUCCGCCCCACUGCACGCCAGCAGUCGGAGGCCUGGGGCGUGCUGCCCACGUGACUGACGGCCGGGAAGGAAAGAUGGCGGCGACUAUGAUGGCUUCAGAGAGAGGGCAACCAACGAGAGGACGCCGCCCGCCAGAGCGUCCACACCGCCGCUUUUUCUGCGGUUGCGUCCUGGGAAGGCGCGAAUUGUGUGGCUACGGGCGGGUCGUCCUCUCCACCAUUUUUUAAUGGAAAAAAUAAUAAUUCUCAAAGACGGUUUGGUCUGACCUGCCUCCCCACCUCUUGGCAUCCGCAGGAUCGCAGGCGUGUAAAAGACGGGAUUGUGGGACUGGGCCCAGUGACUCAUGCCUGUAAUCCCAGCGCUUUGCGGGGCCAAGGCCAGAGUAUCUCUUGAGCCCAGGUGUUCGAGACCAGCCUGGGCAACAUAGCGAGCCCCCAUCUCUAUUUUUAAAAAUGGUGUAUAGAUAUAGAGGAGAUCGUGGGAUUCAGUAUCUGAGAUUUUCUACCUUGGUGUCAACGCCCCUGUCAACCUAUUAGGUGACCUCAGAGUGUUCCCCCAGCCCUCAAUUCUAGGGAUCCCAGAUCCUGGAACACACACAUGCCCCGUCUGCCCCUUCGGGACAAGGAGAUCUAAUGGCACUCUCAGAAUUAGGCCUUAAAUGCUAAUUUCCUGGAGAUCCG
rnacentral:lncRNA from 10 species